UAACCACCAAUCAAAUGCUAACACGACCGAAGCCUGUAUAGUAACUAUGGCCCUGGGAAUGCUGCCAAAACUGUCCCAGAACUGAGAAAUUCUCCUCUUGCCUGGAGGCCUCUCAUCAGCAAGCAGAAGAAUCAGACCUAAGAAGCACUGCAGAGCAAACAGAGGAAGCAGAGCUCUACACAUGGCAGGAUUCAUCACCAAAUAGUUCCAAAAAGACCCAGCAAGGACUUCAUAGAGUGAAUGACUAGUUAUUCCAUUUUUGUUUUUCAUUCUCCUCAUUCAGGGUGUGGCUCCAGGUCUUAUAUUUAUUGCACAUCACCCAAAUCCCAAAACUAUUAAUUCCCUUCUGGGCAUUUCUGUGGUGCUCUCAUCAUAAUAUUUGAUCAUACACACGAAUGAAUUUAUCUUCCCAGCACCCAUCUGAGUUUUACAAAAUCUAACAGUACUAGAAAUAUUUUAAUAAUUUUCAAAAAUUAAAUUUAAAUUAUUAUUUUUUGUUUAGAUUUAAACCUUUCCCUCUAAUCCUGAGACUCCAGGCAUAUCAGCAUGUUGUUAUUGCAUGUGAACUACAGAUUGAAACAGACUAGAAACUAAGGGGGAAACUGCAUGUAAUAGCUCAUUAUUAUUUUGAAAAUCAGGAUGGAACAGCAACACAAAAAGAAAAAUAAAACCAGGACUGAAAAAAGACAGGAAUGGG